rnacentral:tRNA from 1 species
GGGUAUUCAUAGCUCAGUGGUUGUGGCGACAAGCGAACACGAAAAUGGUAGGAUUUGAUAGAGCGCUUCGUUCACAUCGAAGAUGUCAGGAGUUCAAAUCUCUUAUCACCCACCA